GUGGGGAAUAUUGGACAAUGGGCGAAAGCCUGAUCCAGCCAUGCCGCGUGUGUGAAGAAGGUCUUCGGAUUGUAAAGCACUUUAAGUUGGGAGGAAGGGCAGUAAGUUAAUACCUUGCUGUUUUGACGUUACCGACAGAAUAAGCACCGGCUAACUCUGUGCCAGCAGCCGCGGUAAUACAGAGGGUGCAAGCGUUAAUCGGAAUUACUGGGCGUAAAGCGCGCGUAGGUGGUUCGUUAAGUUGGAUGUGAAAGCCCCGGGCUCAACCUGGGAACUGCAUCCAAAACUGGCGAGCUAGAGUACGGUAGAGGGUGGUGGAAUUUCCUGUGUAGCGGUGAAAUGCGUAGAUAUAGGAAGGAACACCAGUGGCGAAGGCGACCACCUGGACUGAUACUGACACUGAGGUGCGAAAGCGUGGGGAGCAAACAGGAUUAGAUACCCCGGUAGUCC
rnacentral:rRNA from 1 species